UACGGAGGGUGCAAGCGUUAUCCGGAUUCACUGGGUUUAAAGGGUGCGUAGGUGGGCAGGUAAGUCAGUGGUGAAAUCUCCGGGCUUAACCCGGAAACUGCCAUUGAUACUAUCUGUCUUGAAUACCCUGGGGGUGAGCGGAAUAUGUCAUGUAGCGGUGAAAUGCUUAGAUAUGACAUAGAACACCCAUUGCGAAGGCAGCUCACUACGGGAAUAUUGACACUGAGGCACGAAAGCGUGGGGAUCAAACAGG
rnacentral:rRNA from 1 species